rnacentral:tRNA from 1 species
GCCCUUUUAGCUCAGUGGUAGAGCGUCGCACUCGUACCUUUGACUCUGCUGCGGAUCAUGCGAAGGUCCACGGUUCAAUCCCGUGAGGGGGCA